AUGGCUAGGAUUAACUACGGUGUCAUAUCCCUGAUCCCCAAAGUAGUUGGGGCGACGGAUAUCCGCCAAUUCCGACCGAUCACGGUGAUCAACGUGUUGGAGCGAAUCUUUGCAAAGGUUUGUGCCACUCGUUUAUCACCGGUGGCGGAAAGGAUUGCUCACCCCCUUCAGUCCACCUUCCUGAAGGGCCGGUGGAUCCAUGAUGGAAUUCUUGCCCUUCACGAGAUCAUUCACUAG
rnacentral:rRNA from 1 species